CAGUGACGGUAUUUAACCAGAAAGCCACGGCUAACUACGUGCCAGCAGCCGCGGUAAUACGUAGGUGGCAAGCGUUAUCCGGAUUUAUUGGGCGUAAAGCGAGCGCAGGCGGUCUUUUAAGUCUAAUGUGAAAGCCUUCGGCUCAACCGAAGAAGUGCAUUGGAAACUGGGAGACUUGAGUGCAGAAGAGGACAGUGGAACUCCAUGUGUAGCGGUGAAAUGCGUAGAUAUAUGGAAGAACACCAGUGGCGAAGGCGGCUGUCUGGUCUGUAACUGACGCUGAGGCUCGAAAGCAUGGGUAGCGAACAGGAUUAGAUACCCUGGUAGUCCAUGCCGUAAACGAUGAUUACUAAGUGUUGGAGGGUUUCCGCCCUUCAGUGCUGCAGCUAACGCAUUAAGUAAUCCGCCUGGGGAGUACGACCGCAAGGUUGAAACUCAAAAGAAUUGACGGGGGCCCGCACAAGCGGUGGAGCAUGUGGUUUAAUUCGAAGCUACGCGAAGAACCUUACCAGGUCUUGACAUCUUCUGCCAACCUAAGAGAUUAGGCGUUCCCUUCGGGGACAGAAUGACAGGUGGUGCAUGGUUGUCGUCAGCUCGUGUCGUGAGAUGUUGGGUUAAGUCCCGCAACGAGCGCAACCCUUAUUACUAGUUGCCAGCAUUCAGUUGGGCACUCUAGUGAGACUGCCGGUGACAAACCGGAGGAAGGUGGGGACGACGUCAAAUCAUCAUGCCCCUUAUGACCUGGGCUACACACGUGCUACAAUGGAUGGUACAACGAGUCGCGAAACCGCGAGGUUUAGCUAAUCUCUUAAAACCAUUCUCAGUUCGGACUGUAGGCUGCAACUCGCCUACACGAAGUCGGAAUCGCUAGUAAUCGCGGAUCAGCAUGCCGCGGUGAAUACGUUCCCGGGCCUUGUACACACCGCCCGUCACACCAUGAGAGUUUGUAACACCCAAAGCCGGUGGGG
rnacentral:rRNA from 1 species